CCCAGUUGCUCUCUUUAAUGGCCUUUAUCCUGCCCCUAAAAUGGUCCUUCCACUGCGUCCCUCAACCCCACUGAGCUGGCAAUUCCUUUCACAUCGUUCCCUGUCAAGGGUCAUCCCCACACUUCGCGCCCAGCGCUGACUGUGAGGACUGACCGCACGGUGGCGCUAGGGAUCGCAGUGGACAAAUCACUACUGCUGCAAUCAGGUGACUGCGCUAACCCGAGGCUCGGGACUCGCCCUGGUGUCAGGGGCUCAGUCCCAGCACUUGGGAAGUGAAGGCAGAAAGAUCGGAAGUGUGAGGUUAUCUUCAGUUACGAGAGUUCAAGGCUAACCUGGGCUACAAGAGACCCUGCUCGAAAUAACAUGGCGAUGAACGUCCUCCAGGCAGCUCUUCCUUACUUGACAUCCACAUCCAUCCUUCUGCAGAGGACAGUCCCAGGCAUCUAGCACAGCACACGACACAGACAACAAGGGGCUGUCACCCGCCUGUGCUUCUUCCUAUAACUAAACACAGUGAGAAAGAUGGAGGACAGAGGCGGGAAGAGCCAGUUGCAGGAGCUGAAGCUCCCAGAGGUGAAGUGGCUUGCUCCAAGUCAUCAGGCCAGAAAGAGAAGACACUGAGGUCCCAAGAUAAGAAGGAAUAUGCUGCAGAUUUUUGAUUCGUGUCAGAACCUAGACUAGAAAGCAUCCAAGGCUUAAGUGGACUAAGGCUGACUUUGGUCAGCUGACUGCAGCAUGGGGGUGCCAGAUCUUCCCUCUAAGGCCUCAGUUUCUCCAUUUGGAAAUAACUGCUGAAAUGAAGUAAUUAUGAAUGACCACCAUAUACUAGCCAAUUUCUAUAGUUAGCACUCCUAGCCAUCACCAAAAAAAUUAUCUUUGGUGCAGCAUCCGUAUCCCCAGAAACACAAGUGUCCCCCGAAAGCCGCAGAAGGAGAAAACUACAACACCCAUGACGCCCAGCGCUGCGUCUGCGCAUAGUGAUCAGUCCGCGAAACCCUACUCGCCAUCUAGCGGCGGCCUGGAGAAGCGCUCCGCUCGGAUCCCCGAGAGGCGGAGGACCCGCGGUGCACGCAGUCGGGAUAUUCCGCUGCAGCCGCGAAGCCGGGGG
ensembl:lncRNA